GAUUAACGCUGGUGGCGUGCAUAACACAUGCAAGUCGAACGAUGAAACUCAUUAGAUUUCUUCGGAAUGAAAAUGAAUGGAUUAGUGGCGAACGGGUGAGUAACGCGUGAGUAACCUGCCUUACACAAGGGGAUAGCCUCUGGAAACGGAGAAUAAUACCCUAUGAAACCAGACAAUCGCAUGAUAAUCUGGUCAAAAUGUUUAGUGGUGUAAGAUGGACUUGCGUCUGAUUAGCUAGUUGGUGAGAUAAAAGCUCACCAAGGCAACGAUCAGUAGCCGGCGUGAGAGAGUGUACGGCCACAUUGGGACUGAGACACGGCCCAGACUCCUACGGGAGGCAGCAGUGGGGAAUUUUGCACAAUGGGGGAAACCCUGAUGCAGCGACGCCGCGUGAUUUAGAAGGCCUUCGGGUUGUAAAAAUCUUUUGUAUAGGAAGAAAAUGACAGUACUAUACGAAUAAGGUCCGGCUAAUUACGUG
rnacentral:rRNA from 1 species